ACAAAUCCAGCUUUGACCAAACACAACUUUGUGUUCUCCGCCGAAAAAGACUUUGAAUCGUAUCUCUCACCCAACUCUCAUGUGUCAACAACAUCUUUGAUUCUUUUUUGAAUCAUCGCCAAUCCCUCCAUUUUUGGGUUUAUCUCCAUUUCGAUCAACUUUUUAAGGUAAGCUUUAAGCUUCAUUUCUCUAAUUUCAAAUUGAGUUAUAGAUGUUUACUCCAAUUGUUUCAUGACAUCAAAUUUUACUUUGGUUUGGUUAUUAUGUUUACAUCAAUUUUCAUUUCUGAUUAUCAUUUGGUAUUCGAUUGAAUCAAUCUUUUGGUACAACAUCUCCGUGAUGCUCUUCACGAUUAGAGAAUCCAAUGCAUUUUAGGAUUUCUCAUUUGUUUCGGUCGUGCCCAAAUCAGAGAAAAACCAAUCUUUAUAUCAUUGCUUCAU